rnacentral:misc_RNA from 1 species
UCCGAGUUGACCCCGGCAGUCUCCUAUGAGUCCCCACCAUUACGUGCUGGCAACAUAGGACGAGGGUUGCGCUCGUUGCGGGACUUAACCAACAUCUCACGGCACGAGCUGACGACAGCCAUGCAGCACCUGUGCUAGUUCCCGACUUUACGGGUCGCAACCUGUUUCCAGGCGCUACUUCAAGCAUGUCGAACCCAGGUAAGGUUCUUCGCGUUGCAUCGAAUUAAACCACACGCUCCGCUGCUUGUGCGGGCCCCCGUCAAUUCCUUUGAGUUUUAGCCUUGCGACCGUACUCCCCAGGCGGGAUGCUUAAAGCGUUAGCUGCGCCACUGACGAGCAAGCUCGCCAACGGCUAGCAUCCAUCGUUUACGGCGUGGACUAC